rnacentral:lncRNA from 1 species
UGUUUGUAUGGGAUUUUGCGCAAGGAAGAUGCUACUGAUGGAUUAAGUUGAAAACAGGACACCAAUAAACAAAAGAACACUAAGAUUAAGAUUCAACGAAACAGUUUUGGAAAUACAUGAUGUCUGAUAGUUAUAAUGAGAAACUGAUAUAAGAUUAAGAUUCAAACAAAACAGCAACUCAAAAGUCCAUGAUCAUAUAUCAAAAGGAUUUGCUUAUACCACAUGAUGAUGCUGAUGAUGAUGAUGAAGAUACCGAUUUCAUCCAUCACCGCACUUGGAUCUUGUAGUUGCCAUCAUCGUCACGGUAAAGGGUUACAAUAGAACCAACGCUAUAGUCGCCGAUGAAUUCUUUCCACUCUCUUCCCCGAAUAAUACAGGAUGAUUCCCCAUGAACCUCGAACUCGAAAACCAUGCAUCUGUUUUCACUUUUAACGAUCAAUUGUGAGUUCUGUCUGGGAAGCAGAUGGAGACUUGCCUCUGUAUUGCUAAUCAUCAAGCCUUUCUCUUUAUCCUUUC